CCUACGGGUGGCAGCAGUGGGGAAUAUUGCGCAAUGGGCGAAAGACUGACGCAGCGACGCCGCGUGAGGGAUGAAGGUCUUCGGAUCGUAAACCUCUGUCAGCAGGGAAGAACGGUCACUGUGCUAAUCAGCAGUGAAUUGACGGUACCUGCAAAGGAAGCACCGGCUAACUCCGUGCCAGCAGCCGCGGGAAUACGGAGGGUGCGAGCGUUAAUAGGAAGUAUUGGUCGUGAAGCGCGCGUAGGCGGUAGGUCAAGUCAAGGGUGAAAUGCCCGCGCUCAACGUGGGAAGUGCCUUGGAAACGGGCAGACUGGAGUUGGUGAGAAGUAAGUGGAAUUCGAGGUGUAGGGGUGACAUGCGUAGAUAUCUGGCAGAACAUCGGUGGCGAAGGCAGCAAGCUGGCUCCAAACUGACGCUGAGGAACGAAAGCGUGGGUAGCGAACAGGAUUAGAUACCCUGGUAGUC
rnacentral:rRNA from 1 species